AGAGUUUGAUCAUGGCUCAGGACGAACGCUGGCGGCGUGCUUAACACAUGCAAGUCGAGCGGUAAGGCCCUUUCGGGGGUACACGAGCGGCGAACGGGUGAGUAACACGUGGGUGACCUGCCCUCAGCUCUGGGAUAAGCCUGGGAAACUGGGUCUAAUACCGGAUAUUCACUUCUCAUCGCAUGGUGGGUGGUGGAAAGUUUUUUCGGCUGGGGAUGGGCCCGCGGCCUAUCAGCUUGUUGGUGGGGUGAUGGCCUACCAAGGCGACGACGGGUAGCCGGCCUGAGAGGGCGACCGGCCACACUGGGACUGAGACACGGCCCAGACUCCUACGGGAGGCAGCAGUGGGGAAUAUUGCGCAAUGGGCGGAAGCCUGACGCAGCGACGCCGCGUGGGGGAUGACGGCCUUCGGGUUGUAAACCUCUUUCGACCGGGACGAAGAGUGAUUGACGGUACCGGUAGAAGAAGCACCGGCCAACUACGUGCCAGCAGCCGCGGUAACACGUAGGGUGCGAGCGUUGUCCGGAAUUAUUGGGCGUAAAGAGCUCGUAGGCGGUGUGUCGCGUCGGCCGUGAAAACCUGGGGCUUAACUCUGGGCUUGCGGUCGAUACGGGCAUCACUGGAGUUCGGCAGGGGAGACUGGAAUUCCUGGUGUAGCGGUGAAAUGCGCAGAUAUCAGGAGGAACACCGGUGGCGAAGGCGGGUCUCUGGGCCGAUACUGACGCUG
rnacentral:rRNA from 1 species